rnacentral:rRNA from 1 species
GAACAACAGGGAUUGCCUCAGUAACGGCGAGUGAAGCGGCAAAAGCUCAAAUUCUGAAAUCUGGCUCUCUCAGGGCCCGAGUUGUAAUUUGUAGAAGAUGCUUCGGGUGUGGCCCCGGUCUAAGUUCCUCGGAACAGGGCGUCAUAGAGGGUGAGAAUCCCGUACGUGACUGGGUGCCCACGCCUGUGUGAAGCUCUUUCGACGAGUCGAGUUGUUUGGGAAUGCAGCUCAAAAUGGGUGGUAAAUUUCAUCUAAAGCUAAAUAUUGGCCAGAGACCGAUAGCGCACAAGUAGAGUGAUCGAAAGAUGAAAAGCACUUUGGAAAGAGAGUUAAACAGUACGUGAAAUUGUUGAAAGGGAAGCGCUUGCAACCAGACUUGCGCCUGGGCGAUCAUCCGGGGUUCUCCCCGGUGCACUCGCUCAGGCUCAGGCCAGCAUCGGUUCUCGUGGCUGGAUAAAGGCCCUGGGAAUGUAGCCCCUCUCGGGGGGUGUUAUAGCCCAGGGCGCAAUGCAGCCCACGGGGACCGAGGACCGCGCUUCGGCUAGGAUGCUGGCGUAAUGGUUGUAAGCGACCCGUCUUGAAACACGGACCAAGGAGUCUAACAUCUAUGCGAGUGUUUGGGUGCCAAACCCAUACGCGUAAUGAAAGUGAACGGAGGUGAGAACCCUUAAGGGCGCAUCAUCGACCGAUCCUGAUGUCUUCGGAUGGAUUUGAGUAAGAGCAUAGCUGUUGGGACCCGAAAGAUGGUGAACUAUGCGUGAAUAGGGUGAAGCCAGAGGAAACUCUGGUGGAGGCUCGCAGCGGUUCUGACGUGCAAAUCGAUCGUCAAAUUUGCGUAUAGGGGCGAAAGACUAAUCGAACCUCUAGUAGUGGUCU